rnacentral:siRNA from 1 species
GGGAAACUUACCAGGUCCA